GAUAAGUACCGGGCAUAAUGAAUUUCGUAGUAUAGUAUUUGUAAAAGUCGAGUAUGGUUGACGUAUUUAUAAAAGUAUAAAUUACUCGCUUUUAUGGAGAUAUGUAUUUUAACAUAAUGGUAUUGUACAAGUGUGUAAUGCCUAGUAUUCAGAUAUGGAAGUCUUUACAACUUUUAAAAUUGUAGCAUGUAUAUCAUAUAAGGCAUAUGUAUUUGCAUAAUAAAUACUAUUUAGCACAUGUAUUCUCCCCCAAGAAUAAAUAAAAUAUUAAAAAGGGGCCGUAACUCUCACCUUAUCGAGUGGUAAACGAGUAGUUCUGAAAGUCAAGAUGUGUCGCCGAGAGGUCGUGAUUUUCGGGAUAAAUCCAAUUUCCUAGAAAUAUUUGUUAUAAAUCAAUAUUUGGUAGAGAUUGGGUAUUUGAACUAGUAUAAUGAUUUAUAAAUUUUCUAAAUGUUUAUUAUCUCAAAAUUUAUUUAAAUAAUCCAUUUAAAUAAAUUUUUCUAAAAAUUUAAUUUAUUAUUAUUAUUAUAUUUUUCCAAAAAUACCUUAAAUAAACCAAGAAAAUUUAAGUUGAGAUAAUUUCACAAAAAUUUAUUUAUUCUAAAUUUUAUUUAAUAAACUAGUAUUUAUAAAAUUAUUUAUUUAAUAUUGUAUUAAAAUUGGAUUUGUUUUGAAAUGAUUUUUCCAUCUUAAAGUAAGUUUUUUUUUUUAAAAAAAAUUCUAUAUGAUAUUUCAUUAGUUAAUGAUUUAUUUUGAAAACCAUUUUGAUGGGAGGGUUUGAAGGCGGGUAAAUUCAAAAUAGAGGGACUGCAUGUAUUUAUUUUGUAUCAUAGUUUGUACAGUAACCAUUUUUUUAUAACAGGAGGCAUACUCCUCCUGUUCUUCUUCUCGUCGCAACUCAUAAACAAAACAAAAAAAAUUAAAGAUUGAUUUUUUUUUUGAUGAUUCUCGAUGCAAGAAAGAUUAAAAAAGUAAACCCAGGUGGUGAAGAUAGCUUACUGGGUGGAGGAGAUGGUGGCUGGCGGUGGCUUGAGGUGACAACAGUAGCGUCACAGUGGUGGUGGGUGAUGGCCGGCAGCCUCCUGCUGCCGUUUCCUGGCUUGGUUUGGCAGCUGGUCGACGGAAGGGAGAGAGGGCAGCUGCUGGGAGUGAUCAAGGGGGUGUUUGGUGUUGAUCUUGAUCAAGGAAGGUGGCUAGAAGUGGUAGAAUAAGGUGGUUUGGGUGGUGGUAAUGUUGUACCCGAGAGAUAGAUAUUGAGUGAGAGAGUGAAAAGAAGAGAUGGCUGAUGGGUUGUGUGAUUUUG
rnacentral:lncRNA from 1 species